rnacentral:tRNA from 1 species
AGCCCGGUCGUCUAGGGGCCAAGGAUUUCGGGCUCUGGACCCGGCGACGGCGGUUCGAAUCCGCCCCGGGCUA